rnacentral:rRNA from 1 species
GACGUAGGGCGCGAGCGUUGUCCGGAUUUAUUGGGUGUAAAGAGCUCGUAGGCGGCUUGUCGCGUCGACUGUGAAAUCCCGAGGCUCAACUUCGGGCUUGCAGUCGAUACGGGCAGGCUAGAGUUCGGUAGGGGAGACUGGAAUUCCUGGUGUAGCGGUGAAAUGCGCAGAUAUCAGGAGGAACACCGAUGGCGAAGGCAGGUCUCUGGGCCGAUACUGACGCUGAGGAGCGAAAGCGUGGGGAGCGAACAGG